rnacentral:rRNA from 1 species
AACGAACGCUGGCGGCAGGCCUAACACAUGCAAGUCGAGCGAAGCCUUCGGGCUUAGCGGCGGACGGGUGAGUAACGCGUGGGAACGUGCCCUUUGCUACGGAAUAGCCCCGGGAAACUGGGAGUAAUACCGUAUGUGCCCUUCGGGGGAAAGAUUUAUCGGCAAAGGAUCGGCCCGCGGUUGAUUAGGUAGUUGGUGGGUUAAUGGCCUACCAAGCCGACGAUCCCUAGCUGGUUUGAGAGGAUGAUCAGCCACACUGGGACUGAGACACGGCACAGACUCCUACGGGAGGCGGCAGUGGGGAAUCUUAGACAAUGGGCGGUAGCCUGAGCGAGCCAUGCCGCGUGAUCGAUGAAGGCCUUAGGGUUGUAAAGAUCUUUCAGGUGGGAAGAUAAUGACUGUACCACCAGAAGAAGCCCCGGCUAACUCCGUGCCAGCAGCCGCAGUAA